AAACACAAGGAGAAAAAACAUCCUGAAGCCAAUGCCUUGGAAAAUGAAGAUAAUAAGAAUAAAAUCACCUAAGUGGGCAGCCUUAGUAUUUCUGGACAUGUUCCAUAACCCCCACAGGUCAUAUUAAAGAUGUAGAGAAAAUGGGAUUUCAAAGAUCUUGUGAAAGACAAAAGGAAAUCAGAAGAAUAUCUAAAAUGAACUGAUGGAGAAUAAAGAGGCUGGAUAACCACAAUUAAAUUACCAGAAAGUUAUCA
rnacentral:lncRNA from 1 species